GAAAUGCGAUAAGUAAUGUGAAUUGCAGAAUUCAGUGAAUCAUCGAAUCUUUGAACGCACAUUGCGCCCCCUGGUAUUCCGGGGGGCAUGCCUGUUCGAGCGUCAUUUCACCACUCAAGCCUCGCUUGGUAUUGGGCAACGCGGUCCGCCGCGUGCCUCAAAUCGACCGCCUGGGUCUUCUGUCCCCUAAGCGUUGUGGAAACUAUUCGCUAAAGGGUGUUCGGGAGGCUACGCCGUAAAACAACCCCAUUUCUAAGGUUGACCUCGGAUCAGGUAGGGAUACCCGCUGAACUUAAGC
rnacentral:misc_RNA from 1 species